rnacentral:lncRNA from 1 species
GGGGUGUAUUCAAAGUGAAAUUUCAAGUGAUUUGUAAAAAGUUUACAAAUCCACUGUUAUUCAAACAUGAAUUUUAAAAAGUCUCAUGAAAUCCACUGUUAUUCAACUAAUGAUUUCAAAAUCCACGUUAAAAUCCACUGUUAUUGAAAACAAUUUGCGGAUUUGGCUUUUAAUUAUUUUGAAGGAUUUUAGAGGAUUUCCCUAGUUAAAAAUACAGAAAUCCAAAUCCCAUAGUUUUUGGUGAGAUUUGAAAGGAUUUUACAAAAGUCAUAUGAACUUCCCUAAAAUCAUCAAAAUUAUUUAAAAACCUAAUAAAACUCAAAUCUCUUAAAAUUCCAUUUU